rnacentral:lncRNA from 1 species
GAAUUUCAACUUUAGCAGACUCGCAUAUGUGAGUAGAACACCGUAUCUGCGGAAGAGCCAAGCUUCAGUGAGAUCGAGUCUGGGUUGGGUCAUCCGCUUCUGUGGAGGCUCUUCUACGGUAUAAGUCCGCUCAUACGCAAGCGCUUCUGCGCUUCAUGGGCCGCUUCAGCGGAGAUUAGCACAACUACUCAAUUUUGCAUCUGCGGAACAACAUCUGUGUUGAUAUUUCUGCAAGUGCGACCAACGGCCUACAGCUUUAGACAGACUUGGCAUUCCAAAUUUUCAGUAUCCCAAACUCUUUAAUACACAAGCUAGCUUAUUGCAAACAUAUCUUUGGCUUAUUUUUCAAUCUUUAGACUAAAUAACACAGGUUUGGAAGCUAGGGUUUUUG